UUGUGCCUCAAACCUGAGCAAGACCUGGGAGAAAACUAAGAAAUGGAGAUUCACACUCCUUUCUUUUCAGGUGUUAAACUGAAACAAAGUGCAAGUUAAGGUAUGCCAUUUAAAUAUAUGUUGGCUUCUCAUGAUAAAACCAGCUACCCAAAGGCAUUUAGUAAAAAAAAAAAACAACAAACAAACAAAACCAACUCCAAAAAAAACCCAACAACACAAAACCCACAAAGGUACUCAUUUCCUAUUGAAAUGCUCAGGAAAUACAUGCCCAGGAAUAGAUCUGAAAACGAAGCUGUUAUCUUUCUUCAUCCUUUGAUCUCUAACAUCUUUCAAAAUACGGCCUCCAAGUGAUAUGCCCAAGGAUGCAUGAAAUCAAGUGCUGAAUCUUUAUCUCCUCCACUUGUGCAUCUCUGCUCUGCAAUUCACAACACAGAUACAUUCCUCCUCAGGACUAGUCUUGACUAAGGGCAAUCAAAAAGACUAAUCCCAGGAAUAAAGAUACUAGACAGGCAUUCACAGUUGCCCUGCACAGACACCCUCCCCAUUUCCUCCCAUCUAGGUUGCAGCUGCAUCUGGCCCUCAAUUCUCUCCAGAUGUGUGAUGAGUUUAAAGAUCUGUCCCAGUCCUUGGCCUUCACUGAGAACCACAGAGCUAGUAAUUUCUGAAAUAACAGAGAAUCUGAGACCUUUUAUGCUAGAAAUACUACAGGGAAGAGAGUGCCUGUAGACACCAACUGCCUCUGUAGUGAAAUCUGAAGUUUCCCCUCUGCUUUUUCGUGCAUAACAGCAUCUGUAUGCCUCAUUUCCAUCUUCACAGCUCCUGUAAUUUACAUAAUGAACAUUUGCAAAGCCUGAGAUCUGUGUUCGCUUUGUCUCACAUUUACUGUAGAUGACCUUCAACAUAUCAUCAGAAAAGUUUCCCAGGCAUUUUCCCAAAGGAUAUGAAUGUGAAACAUAAAACUAUUAGGAAAAGAGAAAAGGGGAAUAAAAUCAGAUUUCUGAUUCAUCAUUCAAAGAUAUGUAUUUUUUCUUCCUACAGCAGGACAAAAAUAUUUGAGUUUAAAAAUAAAAAGGAGUUUUGGCUUUAACAAUUUGCUUCUUUAAAGCAACUGUUGGUAUAAGGUCCCUCAAUAAAGUAACUUUAAUUAGGUUUGCCUUCCUAAUGAAUAAUAAAAAAAAAGUCUGGUGGCAAAUAACUGGCAGUCUAGGCAGGGAUUCAGGACUGACAAGUAAUCCUGACUUAGAGGGAUAGGAACAGGACAUCAGGGUGAGAACAAGCAGCUGAAGCUACUUCUGCCUCUUCUGCAGGUGUCAGGUGCAGCUCUGAUUGCUCCUGCAGACACUGCUGGAAUCACAACAAGACAAUCACAAGGUGACAAACCAGGAACUGACCCAUUUUUGCUUCUGAUGCCCAUCCUCAACCAACUGUCCUUUUCAUCCCCCUUGCAAGUGCCAGCAAAGCUUGUCUGACAGCAUCCUUGGAAACUCCAUCUCCAAUAUUACAUUGAAGCUGAUAUUCUACUGAUGUGGGGCAGCAGGAGAGAAGUUUCUAUAGGUAUUGGCUGGGUUCUGGAUAAGUGCAACUCAGGAAUAUUCUCUCAUUUGAGGAGUGCCUAAGUCCUGUGGACCUCAUGGGAGGUGGAAUACGUGCAAAUGCUGAAGUGAUUGGGGCUGGAAGCACACAGCAGAGUCAGCCCAGGCCACUGCCAAAGGAACAACUUGAGUGUGCACGCAGUUUUUGGAACAUGAAUGAUCCCAUUGACUCCCGAUUGCCUGCGGAUGCAGCUCGGGUUGAAUGGGUCUUAUGUUUGCACAGAAGGAUGGCCCAGAAGGAACUGAGAACGUUUCCAAGCAGAAACCGCUAAAUGUCACUUUGUAUGUGCAGAGCACACCCCCCCAGCUGUGAGCUGGUAUACCAGCGAGGGGUUCUGGGUGCCAUCAUGCAAGCCUGGGGCUGUGCUCAGGGAGGAGGAAGUGUGAUCAAGAUCCUGCCUGUGUCGUGACCCACUCUGUAGAAUGGGCUGAGCCCCUCUACGAGGAUCACGCUCACUGCACAUGUACUGCCGUCCCUUGGCAGCCUCCUACCUAGAUGAGAGCUGUCUGCCCUGAUGGGUGCAGCAAUUUGAGCCUCUUGGUUUACAAGUACUACGUUGGUGCAGAGUAAUGUUAUUAUGCAUUCACAUCAAUUUGUGUAAAGCUGGCAGCAUCCUUGGUGGAUAUUUUUGUACCUCCAGUUUCUAAAUGGCAUUGCUGUUAACAGCAAUGUAUCAUCAUUACCAGCAAGGCUUAUGAGGAUGCACAAAGUGUGAUAUUACUGAAACCUCUGCAAGUACUGUGUGAUAAUCAGGCACAGGUUGGUUAUGUUUUCUCCUUACUCAGUAGAGUGGAUUUGAGCAGGAUUUUGGUUAUAAUCCUCUGAUGAGCCGAUUUCCCCCCAGGUCAGGACAGCUAUCUCCUUGUAUGUAUACAAAAGCACCAUGGACCAGAAGCCUUGCGUGAAUCUUUAUUCCUGCUAAAGCAUCAGAUAGUCCCAGGUCAGUGCCAGCAAAGAGGAACCAAGGGUCCUGUUCAAGACCACAGACCCCCAGCCCUUGCUAGCCCAGAUGUCAUUUGAUUUUUCAGGUCUCAUCCUACAGCUGCUUUGGCUACGGUGCUCCCUCCAGUCAUGCCAUUAUGUAUUAAUAGGGGACAGAGCUGGCAAUGGAAAAGGAUAGCAGAAGUACACAUUUGUCUUGCUGUCCAGUAAGCCACAAAACAAAUAGCGAUGCCAAGUGUAAUCCUGCUUCAGUUAAAACUGUUGCUUUAGUUUGUCAUCAUUCAUUGUUCAGAGUACAGCUGCUUAAUGACAGGAUGUGGGAAAUGAAAAGUUUUUUAUGUCCUUGUAGACUUUUUAAAAUAAAAAUUCCUGAGCAGUGGAGGAAGGUGCUUGCACAGAAAUCCUGGGUUUGAAUGCCAAGACACAGCCUGGCGGGAGCGAGCCUCCCUCAAUGAGGCUCAGGAGACGGACAUUUUGCUCUUAGCUUUAAAAGUAACCUGCUGUGUGAAGCUGGUCUGCCUUGGCUUUGUUUGCUUAUUUUACACAUCUGUGCAUCUGUCUCUGCCCAGCACCUUGCAAAACGGGACCUGCGUUUGGUAGGAAGAAAUGAAAACUAAAAGACAAAUGCCAUGGGGCCACUUCAAUGCAAGAUGCCCCAAGUCCAAUUAAGUUGGCAAAUGUUAGAUUUUGAACCUAAAUAUAGGGCAAUGCAGGGACUGUGAGCAAGCGGAUGAAAUCUGAGGUGGACAGGGUGUUUGCAGAGGAGACUUCAUUAAGCCAGAAAUAGAAGAGACAACCCCAGCUCUGCCAAAAGCUGGGGUGCGUGGGGUGCCUUUUUAAUUUUCGGGUCCAUUUUAAUAAUGAUCUUAAUUUUUAUACAGGCCACGGUGGAGCUCCACCCCUUCUGCGUGCUAAUUGCUUUGAGCUGAUGGUGCAGAAUUACCAGCAGGCGCAUGAUCUUUGCUCUCAGUGGGAACUCCCCUACCUGUGUGUGCUGCACAUCAUGUAAGCAAAUAGGGAAGCUGAUGGCUUUGGUGGGAGACACAUUUCAUUCAGGCUUUAAAUUUGUUUCUGGCAGGCACAGCCCUUGAAGAACCACCAAAGGCUGGGAUGUGGCCAACAAGUCUGCAUAAUAGCUAGUCCCUCCCUGGUUUAACUCUGCCUCUAGAAACAUUCUCCUUCCUUCUUUAUGUAUAUGUAUUAAGCGCUGUCCCAAACUAUGUGAAAUCAGUGUGGAAUUUGCCUGAGGUUCCUCCCUGCCUGCUCAGGGCUUCUCAGCAGCGUAAGCAAAAUUAAAGGAGAUGGUGGGGUUGGGAUGAAACCACUGUUUUAUGAUCUCAGAUAAAUGUCACAUACUUUAGCAUUAAUUGAUAUAUUCUUACAGUAAUCACUUCCCAGCAGAUCACCAGCACGGUCAUCACCACUCUCCCAGUCCAAAAGUCAGUCUUUUUUUUUUGUAUCCUUUAAAAAUUUCUAUUUCCAACAAGCCUACUGUUAUCACACUUUUGCUAUUUUAAGUUUGGUGGCACGAAAAGGCUGACUCACAGAAAGCCGUGUUGUAGGAUAUAUUGGCUCAGCUGAGGAAAUAAUUCUCAAUUCAUUCUUCUACCAAGUGCUUUGAGUUUUUUUUCCUGUCCCUCUCUCUUUUUGUGUGUGUGUGUGUCUUUUGGUCUCACAUUAUGGUACACAUCUGGUACUAUGAAAGAUUGAGAGCUAUUUCUAAUGCAUUGGUCUGCCCAGUCAAAUGUGUCUUUCUGUAUAUACCCUGAAGUGUUUUAUGUGCCUGCUAGAGAUGUUACACAGGAUACUCACACAACUCAUAAAAUUUGGUCUUGUAUUGGAAAAUGUUUUGUGGAAGUAUGCUGCUUAAUCUACUGUAGCCAUUCACAGUUAAUGUUGUUGUGGUGGGCAUUGCAGGGGGUGAAGAUUACAACCUGCUUAGGGAAGUUUGAUACGUUAUCAGAAAUCCUCAAGAAUAAAACUGAAAGAAAUG